UACGAAGGGGGCUAGCGUUGUUCGGAAUUACUGGGCGUAAAGCGCACGUAGGCGGAUAUUUAAGUCAGGGGGUGAAAUCCCGGGGCUCAACCCCGGAACUGCCUUUGAUACUGGGUAUCUAGAGUCCAGAAGAGGUGAGUGGAAUUCCGAGUGUAGAGGUGAAAUUCGUAGAUAUUCGGAGGAACACCAGUGGCGAAGGCGGCUCACUGGUCUGGUACUGACGCUGAGGUGCGAAAGCGUGGGGAGCAAACAGGG
rnacentral:rRNA from 1 species